GACGAACGCUGGCGGCGUGCCUAAUACAUGCAAGUAGAACGCUGAAGAGAGGCGCUUGCUCUUCUUGGAUGAGUUGCGCACGGGUGAGUAACGCGUAGGUAACCUGCCUUGUAGCGGGGGAUAACUAUUGGAAACGAUAGCUAAUACCGCAUAACCAUGGGUGGCACAUGUCAGUUAGUUGAAAGGGGCCAUUGUUCCACUACCAGAUGGACCUUCGGUGUAUUGGCUUGUAGGUGAGGUAAUGGCUCACCUAGGGGAAGGUACAUAGCCGGACUGGGCGGGUGGGUAGCCGCACUGGGAGGGUGACACGCCACAAUGGGCCUGAGGUAGGGCCCGGAGGGCAACGUGGGCAAGGGGUGCAACCCUGUCCGAGCAACGCCGCGGGAGUGAGGAAGGUUUUCGGGUCGUGAAUCUCGGUCGUAGGUCAAGAACGGGUGUGAGAGUGGAACGUAGAGACUGUGACGGUAACGUGCCAGAAAGCAACGGCUAACUACGUG
rnacentral:rRNA from 1 species